UACGUAGGGUGCAAGCGUUGUCCGGAAUUAUUGGGCGUAAAGAGCUCGUAGGCGGUUUGUCGCGUCUGCUGUGAAAACUCAGGGCUUAACCCUGAGCUUGCAGUGGGUACGGGCAGACUAGAGUGCGGUAGGGGAGACUGGAAUUCCUGGUGUAGCGGUGAAAUGCGUAGAUAUCAGGAGGAGCACCGGUGGUGCAGACGGCUCUCUGGACCGUAACUGACGCUGAGACACGAAAGCGUGGGUAGCAAACAGG
rnacentral:rRNA from 1 species